UACGGAGGGUGCAAGCGUUAUCCGGAUUCACUGGGUUUAAAGGGUGCGUAGGCGGGAACGUAAGUCAGUGGUGAAAUCUCCGUGCUUAACAUGGAAACUGCCAUUGAUACUAUGUUUCUUGAAUUUUCUGGAGGUCAGCGGAAUAUGUCAUGUAGCGGUGAAAUGCUUAGAUAUGACAUAGAACACCAAUUGCGAAGGCAGCUGACUGCAGGGAUAUUGACACUGAGGCGCGAAAGCGUGGGGAUCAAACAGG
rnacentral:rRNA from 1 species